rnacentral:rRNA from 1 species
GAUGAACGCUGGCGGCGUGCCUAAUACAUGCAAGUCGAACGCGAGCAGCAAUGCUCGAGUGGCGAACGGGUGAGUAAUACAUAAGUAACCUGCCUCAUACAGGGGGAUAACAGUUAGAAAUGACUGCUAAUACCGCAUAAGACCACAGCACCGCAUGGUGCAGGGGUAAAAACUCCGGUGGUAUGAGAUGGAUCCGCGUCUGAUUAGCUAGUUGGUAAGGUAACGGCUUACCAAGGCAACGAUCAGUAGCCGACCUGAGAGGGUGACCGGCCACAUUGGGACUGAGACACGGCCCGA